GGCAAGAGCACUCUGUGUUACUAUAAAAAAAUCGAGUAAAACAAUUUGUAAUCUUGCUAUAAAAAUAUGCAAAUGUAGCUUUAUGCAGAUUUGCUGAAAUUUUUGCUCUUCUGUGAUAAUAUUUUGCAACAAAAUUUG